CGCCCACUAGGCCUGUGGGACAGCCCCUUCGGCCCUCUCCAGGAGGUUCUGGAGCCCUGACGUCGGCCCGCCCCGCCUCUGCCACAGGCCAGGCGGCGCUCCUCUCGGGACCUCCGCCUCUGCCCUUGUGGGCUCCAUCAGCUCGGUACCUGGGGCUCCGUAUCCCCCGUCGGGCCCAAGCCUGUGUGGAACAGACAAACAGCUGCAGCUCAACCAAACUCCUACCCCCUUCGCCUCCUCCUCCUCCUCCUCCUCGCCGGGGCGGCUCCAGCCAAUCGCAAGAUCACCCGCCUACCGUGGUGGGUGGGCUAUGUGAGCGUCCGCCCGCCAAUCUUCUGGAGAAAGGCGGGCUCUGAGGGACUAUCACCAACUAGCACAAGUGAGAGACUGGAUUGGCGAGGCCGCAAGCCAAUACCUACACGAGAAGCCUUGAAGAUUGACGGGAUAAGUAGCCAUUAAAGAGAGAGCUCCUGGGAAAGGGGGCAGUGCAUCACUGACAGGCAUGUGCGUCAGCCAAUAGAACCUCAACACCCGUGACACCCCUCCCCCGCCUCUCGACUCGUAAACAUCUAAUCAGUGAAAGGUAAGAAGAGCCUCCAGGUGAAUGAAAAGCAGAAGAAAGG
rnacentral:lncRNA from 1 species